rnacentral:rRNA from 1 species
GCCACUGCUAUCGGGGUUUGACUAAGCCAUGCGAGUCGAGAGGUGCAAGACCUCGGCGAACUGCUCAGUAACACGUGGACAAUCUGCCCUGAAGAAGAGAAUAAUCCCGGGAAACUGGGGGUAAUGCUCUAUAGUCCGGGGAAACUGGAAUGUUUCCCGGAUGAAAGAUCCGUCGCUUCAGGAUGAGUCUGCGGCCGAUUAGGUAGUUGUUGGGGUAAAAGCCCAACAAGCCCGUAAUCGGUACGGGUUGUGGGAGCAAGAGCCCGGAGAUGGAUUCUGAGACACGAAUCCAGGCCCUACGGGGCGCAGCAGGCGCGAAAACUUUACAAUGCGGGCAACCGUGAUAAGGAAACCCCGAGUGCCCGUUAAAUCGGGCUGUCCACCAGUUUAAAAAACUGGUGAAGAAAGGGCCGGGCAAGACCGGUGCCAGCCGCCGCGGUAAUACCGGCGGCUCGAGUUGGUGGCCACUAUUACUGGGCUUAAAGCGUUCGUAGCUGGUCUGUUAAGUCUCUGGGGAAAUCUGCCGGCUCAACCGGCAGGBGUUCCAGGGAUACUGGCAGACUAGGGACCGGGAGAGGUGAGGGGUACUCCAGGGGUAGGAGUGAAAUCCUGUAAUCCUUGGGGGACCACCUGUGGCGAAGGCGCCUCACCAGAACGGCUCCGACAGUGAGGGACGAAAGCUGGGGGAGCAAACCGGAUUAGAUACCCGGGUAGUCCCAGCCGUAAACGAUGUGCGUUAGGUGUAUCGGUGACCACGAGUCACCGAGGUGCCGAAGAGAAAUCGUGAAACGUACCGCCUGGGAAGUACGGUCGCAAGGCUGAAACUUAAAGGAAUUGGCGGGGGAGCACCACAACGGGUGGAGCUUGCGGUUUAAUUGGAUUCAACGCCGGAAAUCUUACCGGGACCGACAGCAAUAUGAAGGCCAGGCUGAAGACUUUGCCGGAUUAGCUGAGAGGUGGUGCAUGGCCGUCGUCAGUUCGUACUGUGAAGCAUCCUGUUAAGUCAGGCAACGAGCGAGACCCA